GACAGAGGGUGCAAACGUUGUUCGGAAUUACUGGGCGUAAAGCGCGUGUAGGCUGCUCGGAUAGUCGGGUGUGAAAGCCCUGGGCUCAACCCAGGAAGUGCAUUCGAUACUGCCGAGCUUGAGUCCUGGAGAGGAAGGCGGAAUUCUCGGUGUAGAGGUGAAAUUCGUAGAUAUCGAGAGGAACACCUGCGGCGAAGGCGGGUUGCUGGGCUGACACUGACGCUGAAGCGCGAAAGCUAGGGGAGCGAACGGG
rnacentral:rRNA from 1 species